ensembl:lncRNA
CCUCCAUUACUCGACACACGCCUCGAAGCCUCGGCACGUCUCGUAACAUCGCUAAUAAACAGUUUAUCUGUAAAUCAACGUCAAAAAGAAAACCCAGCGCUAUAUGCAAAUUCUGCAACGCAACGCUCACUGAGGCGGCUGGAACCACAUCGAACUUUUACCGACACUUGGAGAGGAAGCAUAAAGAAAGACAAACACCUGAAUGAUCCCCAAGAGUUCUGGGAGAAUAUCCUCCGGAAUGAUGGACAGAACAUUUUGGAAGGAGUGCAAGUCUUGUGUCUUUUAAAUCGACUGUAAAGGACAAUGACCCCAAACACACCUCCAGACUGUGGAAGGACUAUCUGACCUAGAAGGAGACUGAUGGAGUGCUGCUUAUGUCAGAUGAUCUGGCCUCCACAGUCACCUGACCUAAACCCAAUCCAGACGGUUUGGGAUGAGAUGGACCACAGAGUGAAGGUAAAAGAGCC